AUACGGAGGGUGCAAGCGUUAUCCGGAAUCAUUGGGUUUAAAGGGUCCGUGGGCGGGCAAUUAAGUCAGAGGUGAAAUCCCACAGCUCAACUGUGGAACUGCCUUUGAUACUGGUUGUCUUGAGUUAUAGUGAAGUAGAUAGAAUGUGUAGUGUAGCGGUGAAAUGCAUAGAUGUUACACAGAAUACCGAUUGCGAAGGCAGUCUACUAACUGUUGACUGACGCUAAUGGACGAAAGCGUGGGGAGCGAACAGGAUUAGAAACCCUAGUAGUCC
rnacentral:rRNA from 1 species